ACUAAAUAGAUACCCCGGUAGUCCACGCCCUAAACGAUGUCUACUAGUUGUUGGUGGAGUAAAAUCCAUGAGUAAACGCAGCUAAACGCGUGAAGUAGACCGCCUGGGGAGUACGGUCGCAAGAUUAAAACUCAAAGGAAUUGACGGGGGCCCGCACAAGCGGUGGAUUAUGUGGAUUAAUUCGAUGCAACGCGAAAAACCUUACCUGGCCUUGACAUGCCACUAACGAAGCAGAGAUGCAUUAGGUGCCCGUAAGGGAAAGUGGACACAGGUGCUGCAUGGCUGUCGUCAGCCCGUGUCGUGAGAUGUUGGGUUAAGUCCCGCAACGAGCGCAACCCUUGCCAUUAAUUGCCAUCAUUUAGUUGGGCACUUUAAUGGGACUGCCGGUGACAAACCGGAGGAAGGUGGGGAUGACGUCAAGUCCUCAUGGCCCUUAUGGCCAGGGCUUCACACGUAAUACAAUGGUCGGUACAGAGAGUUGCCAACCCGCGAGGGGAGCUAAUCUCAGAAAGCCGAUCGUAGUCCGGAUUGUUCUCUGC
rnacentral:rRNA from 1 species